AAAAAAAGUGAACAGUGUCCCUGGGUAUUUAUGUAGGUUCACGGUUGCUAGGGCCUGAGUGUUGGCCUGCCUCCCCAGGUGAAUGUGUUUAAAUCUCCACACUCACACAGUGUGAUGGUGUUAGGAGGUGGGCCUUGGGGAGGUGUGAGGUCCAAGGGUGGCGUCCUCAUGGACAGGAUUAGUGCUCUCACGAGAGGGCCACCCCAAAGCCCUGUUUCUGCCACUGAAAGGCGCACCUGCAACAGGAACGUGGGAGUCCGCAACCUGAAAAAGAGCUGCAUCAGGGCCAGCCUUCUGAGCUACGGGAAUUCACGUCCGCCCUUGUUAAACCACAGAGUCUAGGGUCCUCCCUCACGGCCACCUGAGUGGACUGAGACGGUGGUGUGGUUUACACUGGUCUGCUGGCACGGAAAGACUGAGGAUAGCCCCUAUUUCUUCCUUUCUUUUGCAGAAACAGACCCUGGCACGGUGUUGGCAGAAGGCCUGUCCCUGAUUGUCUAGAAUGCAGGUGGACACCUCUGCACUGCACAGCUCCGGUGGACACUGCAAACGUGGCGUCCAUCACCUCCAGGAGGGAUAAGGGUCCAAGUCCCUGCCAGAGUGUGACCCCACCGACUCUGAUGAUGGACCGUUUUGAAGCUGGAUUGGCAGAGGUGGCGAGCACUGCGUGUUGUGAUGAAAGGUAACGGUCAUGCCCAGCCUCCGUGAGCACAGCUGGGCGCCAGCCUCUCUCCUGCCAUGUUACGUUCAUCACCCGGCUUCACGGUGAACAUCCAGGGGAGGUAAGAGCCCAGCCUCAGGGGCGCCCAGGUGCCUUCCCGGGUGGGCUGGGCAUGCAGGUGCAGAGCCAGGAAGGACAUGCAGGUGCAGUCAGAGCUCAGAGCUGCCCUCUGAACCUUGGCAGUAGCAGGCAGCAAACGCAAGCUGGUCCCACUACGUGCAAUGUGGAGAAACUGUCAUCGAUGUCAUCGUGGCCCGUGCCUUCCCUCACGUUAUCCAGUGAGUGUUCUCAAAGAAUCGAGAACAAUUCUGCUUCUUGAUUCCCCCUCCUGUUCCCCUCAAGCAACUCAGUUAUGAUGAUACUAGCAAUUACGGGCGGCAGAGUCCAGCAGUGUUUGCCCUCAGUUAACGAGUGGCUUUGGGAAGAGUGGUAGUGUGUCCUCCAAGAUGACGUGCAUAAUCCCACCCAAAUCCACCCCAGGUGCGUCUGACUCGCCUCUAGGGGCUGGGGGCUGUCUCCAGUCUGCCCCCUGCCGGCCCAUGAGUCAGCCGUGGCAAGUCACUGACCCGGAGCUGAUCCCCAGGAUAGGAAGAGGGUCUCGGGGCCAGGCGGGCCUCGUCCUUCCACCUAGUCCUUCCCCAGCAGCUUGCCACCCUCCAGGUCGGCUCCACCGAAGGGGAACCGAGCAGUUUUGUGCACACUUCAUGGGAGGGCUGCUUUGCCUUCGGUGGGUCAGAGUGUCAGUACGAGGUGAGUAGUGGCCAGGAGACAAUCCAACCCGCACCAGGGCUGGCCGCCCGCUCCCUCUUGCCGCUCACGGACCGUUAUCUUGACUCUUGAGAUCAGAUACUCACUGAUUUCAAAGAGAGAUGCGUUCGGUUCUGCUGUAAUGGAAAUCCGGUGGUCACGGAGGAGAGCUGCCCGUUCAGUGUUUUUGAUUUCCAUUUCUGUUUACCACGUUCACGGGAUCACCAGAUAGCCGUCCUUCUGUUCAGCGCGUUUCGAAGAUUUUUAUUUAAGUGAAGAGAAUCGGAUUGGGAAAGAGCAUAAAAGUCCUGAAGGCUCAUUGUCUGGCAUCGGUGUUGUGCGGUAAUCAGCCUCGGUGCCUGUUAGUUGGCUCCCAAGUCAGAGCUCCUGCGUGGGAAUCUGCAGGUCAAGCACGUGGCGCCUCUGUGUGCAAUACGUCUGACGACGCUCCACGGUCAGGAAUAUCCAAAAAGAACAGACGGAAAUAAAACAUUUUGCCCUGAAGCCUUCCGUCCGGUGCUGCGGGUAGAAGAUGCGAUCUAACCAGAGAAGCGCCACUAACUGAAGCGCCACUUCCAUGGUCAGCGAUCUCAUGCCAUUGAUUACAUGCAGUGGAUUUCGCGUCCAGGCAUCUUGUCUAUCACCCAGAUUUACGGGUAGCAUUUCAGGAGAUAAUUGUGAACGAAAAGGGGCCAGUGAUUGCAUGAGAUAUUCUUGUCUGAGUAUUUACGAUGUUUUUCACCUCCCAAAUGAUUUCUUACCUUCUGCUAACAACCGGCCGAGUUGGAAUUGGUGUCUCACUAAAUCAUGACGUUCCAGGAGCCUUUGUGCCGGCAGUAUUGAUUGUCGGAAUGACAUGGCUGCUGUAAAGCGGUGUAUUUUCAAACACCCUGUCGGAACUUUCAGGCAGGUGGUUUUCGGGCCAGGAGCUUCAGUAUCGGCUCCCUGGUCCGAGGAGGUGGGUGCUGGGUGGUAUUUCUCAGAGAACUGGUCCACGGCGCUCUGCACGCUGCAUUUUCUUACCUCUGGGUAUCCACGGAGCUGGGUGUGUCCUAGAGAAGCACGUGCUCACAUGUGGGGGCCGUAGUCCAGGGAGACGGUGACCAGCCCCUCAGUCGGGGUGUGUGAGUCUCCCGUGGAAGGUGGACCAGGGCCACGAGAGACCCCACCAGCCAGUCCCUGGGGUCAGGCGCCAGGUGGAGACCAUGGGACUGGUGGGCUGAAUAGUGGCCCGGGGAAUUGCAGUGUGGACGGCGGGAAGAGCUGACCAGGCACAUUAAUGGGGACCGUAUCACAGUCCCAGGAGAAGGGCAGGCUCCUUGGGAAUUGGCUCGUGGGUUUAAAGGUGUUUGGUGGAAUGUCUUACAGAGAGGCGACUGCGCCCACCUCACGUCCCUGGGGUCUUUCUGUCUAG